rnacentral:rRNA from 1 species
ACGUAGGAUCCAAACGUUAUCCGGAUUUACUGGGCGUAAAGCGUGUGCAGGCGGCGUGGUAAGUUGGGUGUUAAAGCUCCGGGCUCAACCCGGAGAGGUCGCCCAAAACUACCAUGCUAGAGGACGAUAGAGGAAGGUAGAAUUCCAGGUGUAGUGGUGAAAUGCGUAGAUAUCUGGAGGAAUACCAGUGGCGAAGGCGACCUUCUGGGUCGUUCCUGACGCUCAGACACGAAAGCUAGGGUAGCGAACGGG